rnacentral:rRNA from 1 species
CCUGACGCGUUCGUACCAAGAACCGACACAGGUGCCCCUAGAUGAAAAGUCUAAGGCGUGUCGGCCUAAUCGAUGCGAGGGAACUCGGCAAAUUAGCCCCGUAACUUCGGGAUAAGGGGUGCCAGCCGCGAGAGUGGCUGGUCGCAGUGGCAAGGGAACUCCGACUGUUUAAUAAAAACACAGAUCGCUGCAAGUCCGAAAGGAUGUGUAUAGCGGUUGAAGCCUGCCCAGUGACGGUAUCUGAAACUCGGGUACAACCGAACGAAGGACCGUUAAACGGCGGGGGUAACUAUGACCCUCUUAAGGUAGCGUAAUACCUUGUCGCUUAAUUGGCGACUUGCAUGAAGGCCCAACGAGAGUUCUACUGUCCCCGCAUCGAAGCCGGUGAAACUAACAGUACUGGUGCACAGUCCAGUAUCUUCCACCUGAAAGCGAAGACCCCAUGGAGCUUUACUGCAACCUGUCGUUGUGAUAUGAAUUUCGAUGUGUAGGGUAGGCGGGAGACGUUACCCAGGAAUUGCCGCUAGGUAAUCUCCGAGUCGACGAUGAAACACCGCCCUUCGAACUUCGUACCACUAACUUCGAAAGAAGGACACCGAUAGGUAGGCAGUUUGGGUGGGGCGCCACGCGCUCAAAAAGAUAACAAGCGCGCCCAAUGGUCAGCUCAGGCAGGUCAGAAAUCUGCCGGUGAAUGUAAGGGUAAAAGCUGGCUUGACGCGGAUCCGGACAACAAGGAUCGGCGAUACGAAAGUAGGGCCUAGCGAACCAAUCAACCUUCUGAAUGGGGGUGAUUGAUGACAGAAAAGUUACCCUGGGGAUAAUUGAGUUGUCGCCAGCAAGAGUUCAUAUCGACCUGGCGGCUUGCUACUUCGCUGUCGGCUCUCCCUAUCCUGGUGGUGCAGCAGCUGCCAAGGGUGGGGUUGUUCGCCCAUUAAAAGGGAUCGUGAGCUGGGUUUAGACCGUCGUGAGACAGGUUUGUUGCUUUUUGGUGGAAGUGAAUUGAUGCCUGACGAGAAGGACCCUUGAGUACGAGAGGAACGGGGGUUCGGAGCCUCUAGUCAAUCAGUUGUCCGACAGGGCAUGCUGAGCAGCCACGCUCUAAUGGAUAAGAGCUGAAAGCAUCUAAGCUCGAAGCCACCUUGAAAAAGAGGCAUCUUAGGACGCUCAUAGUUGAUGAGCUUGAUAGAACCGGGAUGUAAGCAUCGAGGCCAUCCGAGAUGUUCAGUCCGCGGUAACUAACGUCCUCUGCCGCGUAA